rnacentral:rRNA from 1 species
GAUGAACGCUGGCGGCGUGCCUAAUACAUGCAAGUCGAGCGAACGGACGCGAAGCUUGCUUCUCUGAUGUUAGCGGCGGACGGGUGAGUAACACGUGUAUAACCUACCUAUAAUACUGGGAUAACUUCGGGAAACCGGAUCUAAUACCGGAUAAUAUUUUGAACCGCAUGGUUCAAAAGUGAAAGACGGUCUUGCUGUCACUUAUAGAUGGAUCCGCGCUGCAUUAGCUAGUUGGUAAGGUAACGGCUUACCAAGGCAACGAUGCAUAGCCGACCUGAGAGGGUGAUCGGCCACACUGGAACUGAGACACGGUCCAGACUCCUACGGGAGGCAGCAGUAGGGAAUCUUCCGCAGUGGGCGAAAGCCUGACUGAGCAACGCCGCGUGAGUGAUGAAGGUCUUCGGAUCGUAAAACUCUGUUAUUAGGGAAGAACAUAUGUGUAAGUAACUGUGCACAUCUUGACGGUACCUAAUCAGAAAGCCACGGCUAACUACGUG